ACUCCCACCCCAAAACCCUCCCCCUUCGUUCAACAACCAUAACCCUCUCCUUCUCAAUCUGCGGCCGCCAUCACCACCAUCAGCCCCGCUGCACGCCAUCUAAUCUUUCCUAAAAAUUGAUGCCACCAUUUUGGUUAUCUGCUUCGGAUCGGUUGAUGAUGCCACCACCAUUGCAAUGCCACAACCAUUCUUCAUUCAUUAGGUUUUAUCUUCUACAAACCAAAGAUCUAAUUUUGUAUUUAAUAAUAUCUAUUUUUAAAUCUGAUUGUUUACGGUUGAUACUAUUUGAAGAUCAAUAUUGAGUUAUUUUAAAACUUUUGAUCAGAUUGAUGUAAGGUGGAUGGUGUGGAGUACUUUUAGAAGUUGUACGAAUUCUUACUGAUAUUAAUUUAAUGGUCACGAAAGCUUACAUUACAACAUUAGUUCUGAUGGAAGGUGGUUUAUGAAUGUAUUCAAUUACGUUGAUGAAGAACGUUUGAAUUACAUUCAUAAGGCUAUGACUCAGAGAGCUAUGCGCCUGCAGUACGGAAGCAACUCUUACAAAGCUGACUUUUAAAACUUCACAUGGCCUGGUCGUUUGGAAGUCCAAGUGGAGACCAAUCAUAUAUAUGAGUGUUUCUUUAGUUAUGAACUUGCUAUAGCGGUUUUGUAUCUAUUGCGGGUGACAUUGCCUUCAAUCACUUAAGAGAAAUUUUGGUGCAUGAAAUAGGAUAUCUACAUGUUAAGAUGAAGGUAUGAAGAAUAUUGACACACUUAGAUACAACAUUAUUUGGAAGAGCUCCUCCAACUACCUCCGCUGGAGUUAUUGACCACCAUCACGAUAGUAGUUCCUCUUACAAGCAAUUUGAACUCAUUGAAUAUACUGAACAAGCCAAUAAAUUAGCCCCCAAGAAGAAUUUUUGCAAUGUAUGGAAUUUUUUUUCCCUAAAGUAUACUUAUAUUUUGGUGAUCUAUUAUUGUUUGCCACCAUUAUUCAAUACUACAUUAUCUACAUUCAGUUAAUAUUAUUAGCCACAUCGUAUGUGUAUUUCUACUA